CACUUUGCAGAUGCUGGAAUACAACAGAUCCACCUUCUUUGUUUUUAAAAAAUUGUGUUAUUCUGCAGAUUUUCAAUCAAUAGGAUCUUAAAAUCAAUAGGUUUUAGAAAAACCCUUUACAACACAACCUAACAGUUUAAAAAUCUGUACUUAAAAUAACUGUUCCAAUCACCCUGUGGCUUUCACUGGGACUGGGCGCUGGCAAUAGCCAGUAAGGAUUCUGGGUUUUGGCUUGCUCCUUAUUCCUUAAGUUGGAAAGUGGUAGAGAGCAAGUGAGCAGCAGGGUUCCUUGCAGAGAGUGAGGAAGGUAAGUAACUGGAAAAACUUCACAGAAACAAAACUCAGCCUGAACUAGUCACCACUUUGAUAGCUAUAACAAUCUGGCAGCAAGCGGGCGAUGAGUUGGUCCUUUGAUGUGCAGGAGGUUGAUGAGUGGAUGAGAAGCAGGUGUGUCUGCCAGAAUCCAGCCAGGUCUGUUUUGAGGACCUUCAGAGGGUCCUGACAGGCUGGUACGCCCUCCUAUAUACUCAUACCCGGUGGGAGAACAAGUGGGAGAGAAAGACAAGAAGAAGAAAGAAGGUCUUCUUUGGUUCUUGGUUUGAGUUCAGAGUCACCACCUCUAACCUCCUGGAUUUCGCUUUGAUAAUGUUGGAUGCCUCUAGCUAUGUCUUAGCCAUUUGUUAGCUAAAACCUUCACUGAGAUACACAAACACUUCAAAAUUUGUGAGCUACAUGUAUAUUUAUGGAUUUCUGAGAUUGCUCAAGGACCGAUUGAUGGAUGGAUGGAUAAGAUGACUGCUGGUGCAAAAUCCAAAAUCAUUUCUGGUUUUCAGUACUCUUUCCUGCCACACUGUAUUCUGCAGAAUGUAUCACACUUUUUUUAAAAGGUAUUUGCAGUUGUACUUUUUAUUAACUUCCAACACUUUUACGCUGUGCAGAGGUAUAAGCACAGUUUGACCAUCUUGAUAUAUUUGUUAUGAAAGCAGUCCUGUGUUUUCACUUCCAGAGGCUCAUCACCAGGAACUGCAAAGAUGGUUCUUAGAUUUGUCAUCCUGCAAUGUGGCAGACAAUAUAUUACUGCUGUCACUCAUCAAGCUACUGCAAAAGUACACGGCACAUUUUUGUGGAAUGCUUUUUCCUGUUGUAAAUUAUUAACCAUUAUAACAUGAAUCAGUGGGUGUUGACCUCGGGACUGAUUCAUACUUUUAAAAUGUGCAGGGGGAAAAUAUUUAUCUGCUCGUUCAGUAACACUGCUGGUUGGAGGUGAUUUUUCUCAUUAAACUGUGUUAGCUGCACAGGCUAAUCUCAAUAUUAAUUCAUUAAUAGGUUGAUUUUAGGAUUGAAAUGGAGAGCAAUUACAUAACUAAAACUGGCAUUCUUGAAUAGUAAUUAAUCAAUUAGCCUUAAUAUUAAUGCCAGUAAAUUGUCGUGGGUUUGAUGCAUGACAUGAAAAACCUGAUUUGUUUUCACAGCAGUUUGACUCAGUGUCAAUACUGCCCGUCCGUAAAUAAAUGUAAAUGAACUGAUAUUUCAACUAUGUCAAAAGGAAUUACAAGGAUAUGCACUGUCCAUUUAAUCUCAGCUGUGGCGAAUAUAACUGGAUCUAUAAUAAAAAAUCUGUGUGUGCACA